GGGUUUGAAAGUGGUUUUGUGAAUGCGAUUAGACUAAAUUAAAAGUAAAAAUUAAAUACAUCCGAAUAUCAUUGAAAGCAUUAAAGAGAAUAAAAUGAUGCUUGUUCCAGCAUACUCUUCCCAAAGCAAUUGAAAAUAACCGAACCUCUAUCCAAGCAUUGAAUGAAACACGUACACUUGCUCCCAUCACCUCUUCAUUCUUCAAAAAACAUAAAGAAAAAAAACUAGCUCCAAAAUGGCUUGUGCUGCAACAGAAAGAAAAGGAAAUGGACAAUGCUUCACAAAAGUAAAUUAAACUCUGUCAUCGUACACCUACCACAUUCUCGUAUCUAAUCACUUCUUCCAUCUCAAAAUAAAAGAAAAAAAAAAUUGCUACACAGCUAGUUGCCGGCUAUUGACACAUCCCAUCACCAAAAGCUCUUCACUUAAUCUCUUCUUCAUUAUAAAAGCAAUUAAAUUCACCGUGUGCUCACUUCAAUCAAUGUGAUUCUCACUUGAAUCACCACUUGUGCCAACAAAGAAAACAAAAUCAAAUUGCUUUUUCCUAUUUCUCUAGAAAAAAAAAAAAGGUGGUUGGCCAUCAUUUCCCAAUACCAUCACCGUUACUUUCUUCUUCUAAUAAAUCAACACGUCUAAAAGAAAACUAAUGCUCUA
rnacentral:lncRNA from 1 species